AUACGUAGGUCCCGAACGUUGCGCGAAAUUACUGGGCGUAAAGGGUCCGUAGGCGGUCUGGUAAGUGGAAGGUGAAAGCCUGGGGCUCAACUCCAGAAUUGCCUUCCAAACUGCCGGACUUGAGGCAGGGAGAGGUCGGCGGAAUUCCCGGUGUAGUGGUGAAAUGCGUAGAUAUCGGGAGGAACACCAGUGGCGAAGGCGGCCGACUGGAACUGUCCUGACGCUGAGGGACGAAAGCCAGGGGAGCGAACCGGAUUAGAAACCCUUGUAGUCC
rnacentral:rRNA from 1 species